UCCUAACCGUGCGAAGGUAGCGCAAUCAAUUGUCUCAUAAAUCGGGACCUGUAUGAAUGGCUAAACGAGGCCUUAACUGUCUCUUACAGAUAAUCAGUGAAAUUGAUCCCCCCGUGCAAAAGCAGGGAUACACCCAUAAGACGAGAAGACCCUGUGGAACUUAAAAAUCACCGGUCACCCCGCACAACCACCUCUCCCCAAAGGGCUCCCAACACACAACACACAUUGACCGCCACUUUUUCGGUUGGGGCGACCUUGGAGAAAAACAGACCCUCCAAAACAAAGACCACACCUCUUAACCAAGAGCAACAUCUCAACGUGCUAACAGCAACCAGAUCCAAUACCAAUUGAACAAUGGACCAAGCUACCCCAGGGAUAACAGCGCAAUCCCCUUCAAGAGCCCCUAUCGACGAGGGGGUUUACGACCU
rnacentral:rRNA from 1 species